AACAGGAUUAGAUACCCUGGUAGUCCACGCCGUAAACGAUGAGUGCUAGGUGUUGGGGGGCUACGCCCCUCAGUGCCGAAGGUAACCCAUUAAGCACUCCGCCUGGGGAGUACGGCCGCAAGGCUGAAACUCAAAGGAAUUGACGGGGGCCCGCACAAGCGGUGGAGCAUGUGGUUUAAUUCGAAGCAACGCGAAGAACCUUACCAGGGCUUGACAUCCCGCUGACCCCUCCAGAGAUGGAGGUUUCCUUCGGGACAGCGGUGACAGGUGGUGCAUGGUUGUCGUCAGCUCGUGUCGUGAGAUGUUGGGUUCAGUCCCGCAACGAGCGCAACCCUUGUCGUUAGUUGCCAGCAUUUCGGAUGGGCACUCUAACGAGACAGCCGGUGAAAGCCGGAGGAAGGUGGGGAUGACGUCAAAUCAUCAUGCCCCUUAUGUCCUGGGCUACACACGUGCUACAAUGGCUGGUACAAAGGGCAGCGAACCCGCGAGGGGGAGCCAAUCCCAAAAAGCCAGUCUCAGUUCGGAUCGCAGGCUGCAACUCGCCUGCGUGAAGCCGGAAUCGCUAGUAUCGCGGAUCAGCAUGCCGCGGUGAAUAUGUUCCCGGGCCUUGUACACACCGCCCGUCACACCACGAGAGUUUGCAACACCCGAAGUCGGUGAGGCAACCUUUUAGGAGCCAGCCGCCGAAGGUGGGGCAGAUGAUUGGGGUGAAGUCGUAACAAGGUAACC
rnacentral:rRNA from 1 species